GGUUGGAUCAAUUAUAAAAUUUAAAAAAAAAGAGAAAAAGUGGAGGGGGGAGUCAAAGGAAUUGUGUGUGGUUACGGUAUUCGUUAGUUACUGAUGAAGUUUCUUCUGAAUAUUUCGCCUUUUCUCUUUCUCUUUCUCACCCUUUUUUUUUUUUUUAACAACUUUGUGAACUUUUUAAUUUGUUUUGAUGGGUUUAAAAUUUGAAAAUGAUGUUUUGUGUGUAAAAAAAUAAAAGUUUUUAUUUAUCACGAUAGUUUUCAUUGGGUAAAAAAAAGACUUUUGUUUUUUUCAAAGUUUCUUUUUUUCUCCACUCAUUGACUAAAUUUUUAACUUUUUUCUAAAUAAAAAAUGAAAAUUCUUUUUUCAAGAAUUUAAAAAAAAUAAAAAAAAAAACAACUUUUGACAACGGAUCUCUAGGCUCUCGCAACGAUGAAGAACGCAGUGAAAUGCGAUAAGUAAUGUGAAUUGCAGAAUUCCGUGAAUCAUUAAAUCUUUGAACGCACCUUGCGCUCCUCGGCAUUCCGUGGAGCAUGUCUGUUUGAGAAUCAGUUUAACUUAUCAAACGGGGAUAAUUUUUUUUUAAAAGAAAAAUUAAUAUUUUCGUUUGGAUAUGGUUUUUUUACCAAUUAAAUUAAAAAAUUUGGUUAAAGCUUAAAUUGAAUAUGUUUCUUGAUUGUGAACCAAUUGAAUUUUCUUAAAAAAAAAAACAACCUUUCUUUUCUAGUAAAAAAAAAGGGUGAUGAGAGACUGGAAAGCAUGACUAAGGAACCGAAAGUUCUUAUUUUUAUGGAUUGCCGAUAACAGUUUUCUCUUUUUUUUUUUUUUUUUGAUACGGAAAGUUCUUCGCGUUCCUUGUGAACAAUAAAAUUUUUAAAUAAACGAUUAGAAAAUUUUUAGUUUUCUUUUUAAGACUUGGUCUCAAAUCAGGCAAGACUACCCGCUGAACUUAAGCAUAUCAAUAAGCGGAGGAAAAGAAACUAACAAGGAUUCCCCUAGUAACGGCGAGUGAAGCGGGAACAGCUCAAAUUUGAAAUCUCAUGGGAAUUCAUUUCUCAUGCGAAUUGUAGUUUAUAGAAGUAUUUUCGAAGGUUAACCCAGGGUUAAGUUCCUUGGGAUAGGGCAUCAAAGAAGGUGAGAAUCCUGUGAUUGCUCUGGGGGUUGACUUUUAUGUGAUAUACUUUCAAAGAGUCGGGUUGUUUGGGAAUGCAGCCCAAAAUGGGUGGUAAAUACCAUCUAAAGCUAAAUAUUGGCGAGAGACCGAUAGCGAACAAGUACCGUGAGGGAAAGAUGAAAAGAACUUUGAAAAGAGAGUAAAAAGUACGUGAAAUUGUCAAAAGGGAAACAUUUGAAACCAGUCUUGCAAGUAGGAACCCAACUGAUUUAACGAUCAGCAUAUGUUCCUAUAUUCGCAGGUCAAUAUCAGUUUCUUUUGAGGUAAAAAACUUUUUGGAAGGUGACCCUGAGAGGGGAGUUUAUAGCCAAGAAGUGAUGCCUUGAAAGGGAUUGAGGAAAGCAGUGCAGACUUUGGGUACCUGGUCGCUAGUUGAUACUCUUUUGUAGACAGCUUGCUGAUUAUAAAGGAGAUAAAGCUACACGAUUGGAUGUAUCACAACUGUGCUUAGGAUAUUGACAAAAUGGUUUUAAAUGACCCGUCUUGAAACACGGACCAAGGAGUCUAACACAUACGCGAGUAUUUGGGUGGUAAAACCCGGGAUGCGUAAUGAAAGUAUUAAGGUGGGAAUUUCUCUUAAAGGGAAACGCACCAUCGACCGGUCAGGAUAAUUUUUUUGAUAGAUCUGAGUAAGAGCGUAUUUGUUAGGACCCGAAAGUUGAUGAACUAUGCGUGAGUAGGGUGAAGCCAGAGGAAACUCUGGUGGAGGCUCGUAGCGAUUCUGACGUGCAAAUCGAUCGUCGAACUUGCGUAUAGGGGCGAAAGACUAAUCGAAUCAACUAGUAGCUGGUUCCCUC
rnacentral:misc_RNA from 1 species